GCUGCAAUGGUCUAAUGGUUAGGAUCCAACUCUUCCAUAUGAGAGAAGUUGGGGUCGGCGUUCGAUUCGCCGUUGCAGCA